rnacentral:rRNA from 1 species
AUUGAACGCUGGCGGCAGGCCUAACACAUGCAAGUCGAGCGGAUGAGCGGAGCUUGCUCCUUGAUUUAGCGGCGGACGGGUGAGUAAUGCCUAGGAAUCUGCCUGGUAGUGGGGGAUAACGUUCCGAAAGGAACGCUAAUACCGCAUACGUCCUACGGGAGAAAGCAGGGGACCUUCGGGCCUUGCGCUAUCAGAUGAGCCUAGGUCGGAUUAGCUAGUUGGUGAGGUAAUGGCUCACCAAGGCGACGAUCCGUAACUGGUCUGAGAGGAUGAUCAGUCACACUGGAACUGAGACACGGUCCAGACUCCUACGGGAGGCAGCAGUGGGGAAUAUUGGACAAUGGGCGAAAGCCUGAUCCAGCCAUGCCGCGUGUGUGAAGAAGGUCUUCGGAUUGUAAAGCACUUUAAGUUGGGAGGAAGGGCAGUAAGCUAAUACCUUGCUGUUUUGACGUUACCGACAGAAUAAGCACCGGCUAACUUCGUG